GACGAACGCUGGCGGCGUGCUUAACACAUGCAAGUCGAACGAAGUGGCGAACGGGUGAGUAACGCGUAAUCAACCUGCCCUUCAGAGGGGGACAACAGUUGGAAACGACUGCUAAUACCGCAAACUGAAGGAGGGGAUUGCGUCUGAUAAGUUAGUUGGGUGGGUAACGGCCCACCAAGGCGAUGAUCAGUAGCCGGGCUUGGAGGGUGAAUGGCCACAUUGGUACUGGGACACGGCCCAGACUCCUACGGGAAGCAGCAGUGGGGAAUCUUCCGCAAUGGACGAAAGUCUGACGGAGCAACGCCGCGUGAGUGAUGACGGCCUUCGGGUUGUAAAGCUCUGUUAAUCGGGACGCGGUACCGGAAUAGAAAGCCACGGCUAACUACGUGCCAGCAGCCGCGGUAAUAC
rnacentral:rRNA from 1 species